rnacentral:piRNA from 1 species
UAGGAAAAGUCUCCCCAAAAGGGAAAAUUGGA